rfam:Schistosoma margrebowiei strain Zambia genome assembly, scaffold: SMRZ_contig0001113
AUCCGGCUGACGAGUCCCAAAUAGAACGAGAUGUGCGUCCUGCAU